rnacentral:rRNA from 2 species
UGGCGGCGUGCCUAAUACAUGCAAGUCGAACGAACUCUGGUAUUGAUUGGUGCUUGCAUCAUGAUUUACAUUUGAGUGAGUGGCGAACUGGUGAGUAACACGUGGGAAACCUGCCCAGAAGCGGGGGAUAACACCUGGAAACAGAUGCUAAUACCGCAUAACAACUUGGACCGCAUGGUCCGAGCUUGAAAGAUGGCUUCGGCUAUCACUUUUGGAUGGUCCCGCGGCGUAUUAGCUAGAUGGUGGGGUAACGGCUCACCAUGGCAAUGAUACGUAGCCGACCUGAGAGGGUAAUCGGCCACAUUGGGACUGAGACACGGCCCAAACUCCUACGGGAGGCAGCAGUAGGGAAUCUUCCACAAUGGACGAAAGUCUGAUGGAGCAACGCCGCGUGAGUGAAGAAGGGUUUCGGCUCGUAAAACUCUGUUGUUAAAGAAGAACAUAUCUGAGAGUAACUGUUCAGGUAUUGACGGUAUUUAACCAGAAAGCCACGGCUAACUACGUGCCAGCAGCCGCGGUAAUACGUAGGUGGCAAGCGUUGUCCGGAUUUAUUGGGCGUAAAGCGAGCGCAGGCGGUUUUUUAAGUCUGAUGUGAAAGCCUUCGGCUCAACCGAAGAAGUGCAUCGGAAACUGGGAAACUUGAGUGCAGAAGAGGACAGUGGAACUCCAUGUGUAGCGGUGAAAUGCGUAGAUAUAUGGAAGAACACCAGUGGCGAAGGCGGCUGUCUGGUCUGUAACUGACGCUGAGGCUCGAAAGUAUGGGUAGCAAACAGGAUUAGAUACCCUGGUAGUCCAUACCGUAAACGAUGAAUGCUAAGUGUUGGAGGGUUUCCGCCCUUCAGUGCUGCAGCUAACGCAUUAAGCAUUCCGCCUGGGGAGUACGGCCGCAAGGCUGAAACUCAAAGGAAUUGACGGGGGCCCGCACAAGCGGUGGAGCAUGUGGUUUAAUUCGAAGCUACGCGAAGAACCUUACCAGGUCUUGACAUACUAUGCAAAUCUAAGAGAUUAGACGUUCCCUUCGGGGACAUGGAUACAGGUGGUGCAUGGUUGUCGUCAGCUCGUGUCGUGAGAUGUUGGGUUAAGUCCCGCAACGAGCGCAACCCUUAUUAUCAGUUGCCAGCAUUAAGUUGGGCACUCUGGUGAGACUGCCGGUGACAAACCGGAGGAAGGUGGGGAUGACGUCAAAUCAUCAUGCCCCUUAUGACCUGGGCUACACACGUGCUACAAUGGAUGGUACAACGAGUUGCGAACUCGCGAGAGUAAGCUAAUCUCUUAAAGCCAUUCUCAGUUCGGAUUGUAGGCUGCAACUCGCCUACAUGAAGUCGGAAUCGCUAGUAAUCGCGGAUCAGCAUGCCGCGGUGAAUACGUUCCCGGGCCUUGUACACACCGCCCGUCACACCAUGAGAGUUUGUAACACCCAAAGUCGGUGGGGUAACCUUUUAGGAACCAGCCGCCUAAGGUGGGACAGAUGAUUAGGGUGAAGUCGU